rnacentral:rRNA from 1 species
AUACGGAGGGUGCAAGCGUUAUUCGGAAUCACUGGGCGUAAAGGACGCGUAGGCGGGUUGGCAAGUCAGAUGUGAAAUCCUACAGCUUAGCUGUAGAACUGCAUUUGAAACUGCUAACCUAGAGUAUGGGAGGGGGAGAUGGAAUUAGUGGUGUAGGGGUAAAAUCCGUAGAUAUCACUAGGAAUACCGAAAGCGAAGGCGAUCUCCUGGAACAUAACUGACGCUAAGGCGUGAAAGCGUGGGGAGCAAACAGGAUUAGAAACCCUUGUAGUCC